rnacentral:rRNA from 1 species
UACGUAGGGUGCGAGCGUUAAUCGGAAUUACUGGGCGUAAAGUGUGCGCAGGCGGCUUCGCAAGUCGAGUGUGAAAUCCCCGAGCUUAACUUGGGAAUUGCGCUCGAAACUACGGAGCUGGAGUGUGGCAGAGGAAGGUGGAAUUCCACGUGUAGCGGUGAAAUGCGUAGAGAUGUGGAGGAACACCGAUGGCGAAGGCAGCCUUCUGGGCCAACACUGACGCUCAUGCACGAAAGCGUGGGGAGCAAAAGGG